CUAAGGUACCCUCGGUGGUUGCUAGGGUAAUCUGGGUGGUUGAUAGGGUCCCCAGGAUGGUUGCUAGGGCCGUUGCUAGGGUACCCAGGGUGGUUGCUAGGGUAAUCGGGGUGGUUGCUAGGGUGUUGCUAUGUGGUUGCUAGGGUACCCGGGGUGGUUGCUAGGGCGGUUGCUAGGGUCCCCAUGAUGGUUGCUAGGGCCGUUGCUAGGGUACUCAGGGUGGUUGCUAGGGUAAUCGGGGUGGUUGCUAGGGUGUUGCUAUGUGGUUGCUAGGGUACCCGGGGUGGUUGCUAGGGCGGUUGCUAGGGUCCCCAUGACGGUUGCUAGGGCCGUUGCUAAGGUACCCAGGGUGGUUGCUAGGGUAAUUGGGGCGGUUGCUAGGGUGUUGCUAUGUGGUUGCUAGGGUACCCGGGGUGGUUGCUAGGGCGGUUGCUAUGGUAACCUGGGUGGUUGCUAGGCAGUUGCUACGGUACUUGGGGUGGUUGCUAAGGUGUUGCUAGGCGGUUGCUAGGGUGUUUUGGCUGGUUGCUAGGCAGUUGCUAUGGUCUCCUGGGUGGUUGCUAUGAUGUUACUAGGUGGUGGGUAGUUGUCACAGAUGGUCACUAUGUAGUUAUUAUAGAGUUCUUAGCCCAUUUGAGCACUUAGCUAAUCACUAUUAGCAUGUAGCUAAUCACUGCUAGCAUGACUAGCAUGUUGGAAGUCCAGUGUGCUAGCAUGAGUCAAAAAAAUCCAACCGCCAUGUCUGUACGAUGUUCUGAUGCAGAGAUAUAGGUCGUGCAAAACGGUUGCUAGGGUACUCCGUUUGGUUGCUAUGGAGUGGCUUGGCAGCUGCCAAUGGUGAUACUCCAAAGGCUGCUCGCCAAUAUAAACCAACCCCCAUGCCUCUACGAUGUUCUGAUGCAUAGAUAUAGAUCUUGCAAAACGGUUGCUAGGGUACUGUGUUUGGUUGCUAGGGAGUGGCCUGGCAACUGCCAAUGAUGAUACUCCGAAGUCUGCUUGCUAGUAUGAAUGAUAUAAACCAACCCCCAUGCCUUUAUGAUAUUCAGAUUUGAAGAUAUCUCUCUAUGCUUUUGGUCGCUAGGGAGGUCCAAAUGGUUGCUAGGGCGUGGCUAUGAAGUGUUGAAGGUGAUUCGUGAUUGGCCAUUUGCUGCCCCGAGUCAAUCGAGCCCACCCUCAUGUUUCUAUGACACUUCUUUCCAAAGUUAUUCAUUUUAUAUUUUUCAAUGGAAGUCUAUGGAGCUUGUUGCUAUGGUGCUCUAUAUGGUUGCUAGGGCGUGGCUUGAUAGCUUCAUAAUGAUCAUGAGAGUCUGAUUGGUUGCCUGAUUCAAAUGAGCCCACCCCCUUGUCUCUAUGACUAUGUGAUCCAUAGUUAUGUUCAAUGCAAAAUCCCUAUGUAAUUUCCCACAGUAGGAAAAACGCAUUGUUUCAUGGGCGAUCCCUCCCCAUUGGCUUAGUAUGGGGCAACUUUGGGGGGCUCUUGCGCCCCAGGGGUACAACUUAUACCCCAUUGCGGGGUAUGAUCGCGCACAGCCUGAUAGCCUCUCCAAAUGUGGUGAUUCACAUGUUUCUGCGAAAUUCUCUCUCGGAGCUACGAUCCGUCAAAGUUGGCCGUAAUGCAUUGUCUAUGCGAUUUUUCGGCCGUUAUUUCGCCCGGUGUACGAACAUCGUACGCCCGAUCGCUUAUAAAAGUCAUAGCACACCAUUCCCGAUUAGGCCGCACGAUUUGACGCCUGUUUCGUUGGUCUGUGACGAAAACUGCGGGACUAGUUACGCGCCGAAAUUCUGGCGGAAGAAGAAUAAUAAGAACUAGAAGGUACAUUUCCUGAAGAAAAUGUGAGUGGUGCUUGCAGUGGCAAAACUCGCCCCUCUGUUGCUAGGGUGUGGUUGCUAGGGUCCCUAUGAUGGUUGCUAGGGCCGUUGCUAGGGUACCCAGGGUGGUUGCUAGGGUAAUCGAGGUGGUUGCUAGGGUGUUGCUAUGUGGUUGCUAUGGUAUCCGGGGUGGUUGCUAGGGCCCCAUGAUGGUUGCUAGGGCCGUUGCUAGGGUACCCACGGUGGUUGCUAGGGUAAUCAGGGUGGUUGCUAGGGCGGUUGCUAGGGUCCCCAUGAUGGUUGCUAGGGCCGUUGCUAAGGUACCCAGGGUGGUUGCUAGGGUAAUUGGGGCGGUUGCUAGGGUGUUGCUAUGUGGUUGCUAGGGUGGUUGCUAGGGUCCCCAUGAUGGUUGCUAGGGCCGUUGCUAGGGUACCCAGGGUGGUUGCUAGGGUAAUCGGGGUGGUUGCUAGGGUGUUGCUAUGUGGUUGCUAGGGUACCCGGGGUGGUUGCUAGGGCGGUUGCUAGGGUCCCCAUGAUGGUUGCUAGGGCCGUUGCUAGGGUACCCAGGGUGGUUGCUAGGGUAAUCGGGGUGGUUGCUAGGGUGUUGCUAUGUGGUUGCUAGGGUACCCGGGGUGGUUGCUAGGGCGGUUGCUAGGGUCCCCAUGAUGGUUGCUAGGGCCGUUGCUAGGGUACCCAGGGUGGUUGCUAGGGUAAUCGGGGCGGUUGCUAGGGUGUUGCUAUGUGGUUGCUAGGGUACCCGGGGUGGUUGCUAGGGCGGUUGCUAAGGUCCCCAUGAUGGUUGCUAGGGCCGUUGCUAAGCUACCCAGGGUGGUUGCUAGGGUAAUUGGGGCGGUUGCUAGGGUGUUGCUAUGUGGUUGCUAGGGUACCCGGGGUGGUUGCUAGGGCGGUUGCUAUGGUAACCUGGGUGGUUGCUAGGCAGUUGCUACGGUACUUGGGGUGGUUGCUAAGGUGUUGCUAGGCGGUUGCUAGGGUGUUUUGGCUGGUUGCUAGGCAGUUGCUAUGGUCUCCUGGGUGGUUGCUAUGAUGUUACUAGGUGGUUGGUAGUUGUCACAGAUGGUCACUAUGUAGUUAUUAUAGAGUUCUUAGCCCAUUUGAGCACUUAGCUAAUCACUAUUAGCAUGUAGCUAAUCACUGCUAGCAUGACUAGCAUGUUGGAAGUCCAGUGUGCUAGCAUGAGUCAAAAAAUCCAACCGCCAUGUCUGUACGAUGUUCUGAUGCAGAGAUAUAGGUCGUGCAAAACGGUUGCUAGGGUACUCUGUUUGGUUGCUAUGGAGUGGCUUGGCAACUGCCAAUGGUGAUACUCCAAAGGCUGCUCUCCAAUAUAAACCAACCCCCAUGCCUCUACGAUGUUCUGAUGCAGAGAUAUAGAUCUUGCAAAACGGUUGCUAGGGUACUGUGUUUGGUUGCUAGGGAGUGGCCUGGCAGCUGCCAAUGAUGAUACUCCAAUGGUCGCUUGCUAAUAUUAACCAACCCCCAUGCUUCUAUGUCUUUCAGAUGUUAAGAUAUCUCUCUAUACUUUGGGUUGCUAGGUAGCUCUUAAUGGUUGCUAGGGCGUGGCUAGGUUGUCUUGAAGGAGAUACAUGAUUGGCCGUUUGCUGCCCGAGUCAAACGAGCCCACCCUCAUGUUUCUAUGACACUUCUAUCCAAAGUUAUUCAUUUGAUCUUUUUCAAUGGAAGUCUAUGGGGCUUGUUGCUAUGGCGCUCUAUAUGGUUGCUAGGGCGUGGCUUGAUAGAUUCACAGUGAUCCUGAGAGACUGAUUGGUUGCCUGAUUCAAAUGAGCCCACCCCCUUGUCUCUAUGACACUGUGAUCCAGAGUUAUGUUCAAUACAAAAUCCCUAUGUAAUGUCCCAUAGCAGGAAAAGUCCUCCCUAUACUUUGUAUUAGGGCCAUUUUUGGGGGGCUCUCGCGCCCCAGGGGUACAACUUAUACCCCACUGCGGGGUAUGUUCUCGCACAGCCUGAUAGCCUCUCCAAAUGUGGAGAUUCACGUGUUUCUGCGAAAAUCCCUCUCGGAGCUACGAUCCGUCAAAGUUGGCCGCAAUGCAUUGUCUAUGCGAUUUUUCGCCCGUUUUGUCGCCCGGUGUACGAACAUCGUACGCCCGAUCGCUUAUAAAAGUCAUAGCACACCAUUCCCGAUUAGGCCGCACGAUUUGACGCCUGUUUCGUUGGUCUGUGACGAAAACUGCGGGACUAGUUACGCGCCGAAAUUUGUACGGAUCUAGAAGAAUAAUAAUAAUAAGUAUGUGAGAUAAUAGUAGUAGUGCUUUGCCUCCGGCAAGCACCACUAAUAAUAAGUAUGUGAGAUAGUAAUAGUGAUGCCUUGCCUCCGGCAAGCACCACUAAUAAGUAUGUGAGAUAAUAGUAGUAGUGCUUUGCCUCCGGCAAGCACCACUAAUAAGUAUGUGAGAUAAUAAUAGUGAUGCUUUGCCUCCGGCAAGCACCACUAACUAGAAGGUACAUUUCCUGAAGAAAAUGUGAGUGGUGCUUGCAGUGGCAAAACUCGCCCCUCUGUUGCUAGGGUGUUGCAAUGAGGUUGCUAUGGUGGUUACUAGGGUGGUUGCUAGGGUCCACAUGAUGCUUGCUAAGGUACCAAGGGUGGUUGCUAGGGUAAUCGGGGUGGUUGCUAGGGUGUUGCUAUGUGGUUGCUAGGGUACCCGGGGUGGUUGCUGGGGCGGUUGCUAGGGUCCCCAUGAUGGUUGCUAGGGCCGUUGCUAGGGUACUCAGGGUGGUUGCUAGGGUGUUGCUAUCUGGUUGCUAGGGUACCCGGGGUGGUUGCUAGGGCGGUUGCUAGGGUCCCCAUGAUGGUUGCUAGGGCCGUUGCUAAGGUACCCAGGGUGGUUGCUAGGGUAAUUGGGAUGGUUGCUAGGGUGUUGCUAUGUGGUUGCUAGGGUACCCGGGGUGGUUGCUAGGGCGGUUGCUAGGGUCCCCAUGAUGGUUGCUAGGGCGGUUGCUAGGGUCCCCAUGAUGGUUGCUAGGGCCGUUGCUAAGGUACCCAGGGUGGUUGCUAGGGUAAUCGGGGCGGUUGCUAGGGUGUUGCUAUGCGGUUGCUAGGGUACCCGGGGUGGUUGCUAGGGCGGUUGCUAGGGUCCCCAUGAUGGUUGCUAGGGCCGUUGCUAAGGUACCCAGGGUGGUUGCUAGGGUAAUCGGGGCGGUUGCUAGGGUGUUGCUAUGCGGUUGCUAGGGUACCCGGGGGGUUGCUAGGGCGGUUGCCAUGGUAACCUGGGUGGUUGCUGGGCAGUUGCUACGGUACUUGGGGUGGUUGCUAAGGUGUUGCUAGGCGGUUGCUAGGGUGUUUUGGCUGGUUGCUAGGCAGUUGCUAUGGUCUCCUGGGUGGUUGCUAUGAUGUUACUAGGUGGUUGGUAGUUGUCACAGAUGGUCACUAUGUAGUUAUUAUAGAGUUCUUAGCCCAUUUGAGCACUUAGCUAAUCACUAUUAGCAUGUAGCUAAUCACUGCUAGCAUGACUAGCAUGUUGGAAGUCCAGUGUGCUAGCAUGAGUCAAAAAAUCCAACCGCCAUGUCUGUACGAUGUUCUGAUGCAGAGAUAUAGGUCGUGCAAAACGGUUGCUAGGGUACUCCGUUUGGUUGCUAUGGAGUGGCUUGGCAGCUGCCAAUGG